GGAGCGGGUCUCCUGUACCUCUCUGCUGCUGCACCAACACCAGCAUGGGCAGAAAAAUCAAGACAUCUUCGAGGAGAACUUAGACAGGCUUUUCCUAAGUGCAGUGUUUUUGUGAGAGACCAGACCGCCUAGCUCUGGAACAAGUACAUUUGCCUCCCCCUGCCAUCAAGGGAAGCAUUCAGUGCCCUCUGUACCCCCCCCCCCCCUCCAAUGUAGGGGGUGGGAGAAGAGAAAAAUGACGUACCAGAGGCUAGAGCUCUUGUGCCAGUGGGGACAAAAAGGCUGCCAGUCACCACAAUCCCCACAGAUGCUGAAGAUUGAAGCUGAAUGAGGGGCUGUGCUCCGAGGAAGCCAUCUUGAUAGAGACACACUGGCUGCCUGCUUCCUAAAAUGGCUGUGUUGGCAUGAGCCUCUGUUGAUGGUGACAUCCAGCUGAUCAGACUAUUUCCUGACAAGUCAUCACCCAGCGUUUUGAUCCAGAAGGCUAAUCGAUCACCCGUUCCAGCUUCUGAUCUCCUCUGAGCUCUUCUGGCUAUUUUAUAGUAGACAAUCAAACCAAUUUGCAAUGAAGCAUUUUUUCAGUUUUAUAAACACACUGGGUGUAGAGACUGUACAGGAAACCAGCUAAUAAAAUGUGCCUUAAUGUGUGAACUGUUUACAAUACAAUGCAAAAAGAAUUCACAUCUGAGUACAGUAUAAUUAACAAAUGUGCUCGGUAUUUUAUUUUAACUGUGUUGUUAAUGUUUUUAAGAGUAAACGAAAGAUUCCUUAAUGAUAACAAUUAUAUUUACUUCAUCUUGUCUUUAGUUUUGGGAGGAAAAAAUCAUCUCUGUAUAAUCAGGAUAUAAUAAUGGCUUGUAAAUGCAGAAGUAAUAAGACACUUGGUUGUUUCUAUUGUAUAACAUUAUUAAUUGAUAUCCAUACCUUUAAAUUAAUUAAUAAACAUGUGCAAUAUAAAACUAGUA